UUGCUUCUUCUUAUCCCACAGU
rnacentral:miRNA from 1 species